ensembl:snRNA
GUGCUGUAUGAGAGAAGGCAAGCACUCCCCUUGAGAAGGAUGGAAGAGGUCCUAGUGAGCUUUACAACAUGCAUAUGGUUAAAGCAUUGCCACUUACUUUGUGGCAUCUAUCCAAGGUGUGGG